AGAGUUUGAUCCUGGCUCAGAACGAACGCUGGCGGCAGGCCUAACACAUGCAAGUCGAACGAGAAGCCACCUUCGGGUGGUAGACAGUGGCAGACGGGUGAGUAACGCGUGGGAACGUGCCUUUCGGUUCGGGAUAACCCAGGGAAACUUGGGCUAAUACCGGAUACGCCCUUCGGGGGAAAGAUUCAUUGCCGAAAGAUCGGCCCGCGUCGGAUUAGCUAGUUGGUGGGGUAAUGGCCUACCAAGGCGACGAUCCGUAGCUGGUCUGAGAGGAUGACCAGCCACACUGGGACUGAGACACGGCCCAGACUCCUACGGGAGGCAGCAGUGGGGAAUAUUGGACAAUGGGCGCAAGCCUGAUCCAGCCAUGCCGCGUGGGUGAAGAAGGCCUUAGGGUUGUAAACCCCUUUCAGCGGGGAAGAUAAUGACGGUACCCGCAGAAGAAGUCCCGGCUAACUCCGUGCCAGCAGCCGCGGUA
rnacentral:rRNA from 1 species